rnacentral:lncRNA from 1 species
UCGAAUUGUAGUUUUGUGUUCAUUCCUUUCCAAGCUCGAUUCGUGAUGUACAAUAGAAAUUAAUAAAAACCGUUAGCAUAUUAGUGAUGUACAUGGAGAGAGGAAGAGAAUGAUGUGAGGUUUAUGCGUUUUGGUGAAGAAAAGUUCAUGUCGAAUUCUGGACAUGGAAGAACAAGAACAGCGGUGAAGAUGAUGAUAAUUACGAAAACGCCACUGGACUUAAUUUAAUUAAUUAAAAC